CCACCUCAUCUCAAACUCUCAUAGGUUUUUGGGUAAUGUUGACCCCACCCUCAGGUUUAGGGGUGGGCUCUACUGUCCAGUCAUCAGCAUAUCCCAUUGUUCUGGUCAUUGAGAUUAGCUCUAGAAUAAGCACAGGACCCAACCCAGGCUAGUUUGAAUCAGGCCAGGAGUGUCUUAUUGGUGGGAGGAAAUUUCUCUAUAUCUGCUACUCUUAAUGUUGAGACUUAAGGCCUGGAGGUGCUGCAGCCAUCUUAUAACCAUUAAGGGGCAGCCUGUUCUAAGAAGCCAAAAUAAUAGAAAAGAACAGAGACUGGCGAGAAGAAGAGAAGCAGGGACAUGAAGUGACAGUUUGAAACGUUGCAUCCUGACACAUCUGAAGACAUCCCUCAUGUGCAGACUUUUCAGUAAUGUAAAGUGGAAAGUGGGCAAGGCCAAGGUCAUGCUACAGAAUGUGACUGAGCAACAGGGGGAUCACUUCAGCUGGGAUGGGAAAGGAAAGCCUCCAGGAGGAGUUGACAUCGAAUCACAGUUGAAUCCUAAGAAGUCAGUCUUGCAAAGAUCUAGGAAAGAAACAGCUAAGUUUCUAAGGCUGGAGUGCAAUGGCGCGAUCUCGGCUCUCUGCAA
rnacentral:lncRNA from 1 species